CUGUGCUAGAUGGGGAGGUAGCGGUGCCCUGUAACUUGCAAUCCGCUAUAGCAAGAUUGAAUUCCAUCUAGAGGCUUAAUUGUGGUGAGGCUGCCCUAGAUAAGUGGUGUUGACACUUAGGUCCUGCGCAAUGGAAGCUCAUAAAUCCCGCCAGGUCCGGAAGGAAGCAACGGUAAGUGAUCACUUUCGUGUGCCGCGGGGGUGCCUAAGUCGAGCUAACUGUUUAGGUAACGCUUAUUAUAAUAAGUCAAUAGAUGGUGCACAG
rnacentral:SRP_RNA from 1 species